rnacentral:rRNA from 1 species
AGCGAACGCUGGCGGCAGGCUUAACACAUGCAAGUCGAGCGGGCAUCCUUGUGGUGUCAGCGGCAGACGGGUGAGUAACGCGCGGGAACGUGCCCUUCGGUUCGGAAUAACUCAGGGAAACUUGAGCUAAUACCGGAUACGCCCUUUUGGGGAAAGGUUUACUGCCGAAGGAUCGGCCCGCGUCUGAUUAGCUGGUUGGUGAGGUUACGGCUCACCAAGGCGACGAUCAGUAGCUGGUCUGAGAGGAUGAUCAGCCACACUGGGACCGAGACACGGCCCAGACUCCUACGGGAGGCAGCAGUGGGGAAUAUUGGACAAUGGGGGCAACCCUGAUCCAGCCAUGCCGCGUGAGUGAUGACGGCCUUAGGGUUGUAAAGCUCUUUUCUCCGGGACGAUAAUGACGGUACCGGAGGAAUAAGCCCCGGCUAACUUCGUGCCAGCCGCCGCCGUAA